GAUGAACGCUGGCGGCGUGCCUAAUACAUGCAAGUCGAGCGAACAGACGAGGAGCUUGCUCCUCUGACGUUAGCGGCGGACGGGUGAGUAACACGUGGAUAACCUCCCUAUAAGACUGGGAUAACUUCGGGAAACCGGAGCUAAUACCGGAUAAUAUAUUGAACCGCAUGGUUCAAUAGUGAAAGACGGUUUUGCUGUUACUUAUAGAUGGAUCCGCGCCGCAUUAGCUAGUUGGUAAGGUAACGGCUUACCAAGGCAACGAUGCGUAGCCGACCUGAGAGGGUGAUCGGCCACACUGGAACUGAGACACGGUCCAGACUCCUACGGGAGGCAGCAGUAGGGAAUCUUCCGCAAUGGGCGAAAGCCUGACGGAGCAACGCCGCGUGAGUGAUGAAGGUCUUCGGAUCGUAAAACUCUGUUAUUAGGGAAGAACAAAUGUGUAAGUAACUAUGCACGUCUUGACGGUACCUAAUCAGAAAGCCACGGCUAACUACGUG
rnacentral:rRNA from 1 species